UGCGCAGGCGGUCUUGUAAGACAGGUGUGAAAUCCCUGAGCUUAACUUAGGAAUUGCAUUCGAUACUGGGAAGCUAGAGUAUGGGAGAGGAUGGUAGAAUUCCAGGUGUAGCAGUGAAAUGCGUAGAGAUCAGGAGGAACAUCCAUGGCGAAGGCAGCUACCUGGACCAACACUGACACUGAGGCACGAAAGCGUGGGGAGCAAACA
rnacentral:rRNA from 1 species